GAAGAACUCUAAUGCCAUUAAAAUCUCUGCACUUUUAACCCACAUUCAAUUAUAAAAUGAGUUUUAAAUGGCUUUUCUUUUUUUUUUUUAGGCAGGACUGUUCAAAAGGAAGAAAAUUGGAGACCUGUGCCGUCUGAUAUAAGACUCAAGAACCAAAAAAACCCCACCACCCUACCAAAACCGGACCAGUAGUGACCCGUGUCAGUGGGAAAUGGAACAAAACAAUAGGAAUAUGCAUCAGGAUGUGGAUGAAAAGAGAAACUGUGGUCCGGCUUCUGCCCUGGGAACUAAAGCAGGCGUGCUUGAAGGUGUAGGACAUAAUUUUCUUGUAGAAGGAAUGAAAGCACCUGGGACCAUGAAGAUUUUACAAAAAUGGCUCGGUUUCACACUUCCUGAAGUAUGCACUACUGUCUGAAGCAGCACCCACCUGAGGAAAACUUCAACAUCCAGCUUCAGCAGAGGAAAAGCACAUGAAGCCCAGACGUGUGAAACUGGAAUCACCACUGAGAGGGACCUAUGGUUCGUUGGCAUUGGGGUAGGUUUUCUGUACUGCAAAACAGCACUCUGGUAAUUUCUAAGGUCCAAAAACACAUACGCUGGCUUACAUUAAAAAAAAAAAAAAGAAAAAAAAAAAAAAAAAGAAGGCUCCAAAAUCAAUUUAAAGAUUUCUUUUAGACCUUGGCUGGACUUCAGAAAGUGAAUUUUCCCAUUGCUCUCAUCAUCUGCUAUUAAGGUUUGAAGUCAGGAAGCAUCUUGAGCUCAAUUCACUAGAAUGAAGGGCUGAAAUAAAAAUGUUUUGAUUUCCUAACCA
rnacentral:lncRNA from 1 species